rnacentral:rRNA from 1 species
CGGCGGAGAACCUUACCCAAGGCUUGACAUAUAACGAGAACGGGCCAGAAAUGGUCAACUCUUUGGACACUCGUAAANCAGGUGGUGCAUGGUUGUCGUCAGCUCGUGUCGUGAGAUGUUGGGUUAAGUCCCGCAACGAGCGCAACCCUCGUUCUAUGUUGCCAGCACGUAAUGGUGGGAACUCAUAGGAGACUGCCGGGGUCAACUCGGAGGAAGGUGGGGAUGACGUCAAAUCAUCAUGCCCCUUAUGUCUUGGGCUUCACGCAUGCUACAAUGGCCGGUACAAAGGGCUGCAAUACCGUAAGGUGGAGCGAAUCCCAAAAAGCCGGUCUCAGUUCGGAUUGAGGUCUGCAACUCGACCUCAUGAAGUCGGAGUCGCUAGUAAGUCGCAGAUAACA